UACGUAGGGUGCAAGCGUUAAUCGGAAUUACUGGGCGUAAAGCGUGCGCAGGCGGUUUUGUAAGUCAGAUGUGAAAUCCCCGGGCUUAACCUGGGAACUGCGUUUGAAACUACAAGGCUAGAGUGUGGCAGAGGGGGGCGGAAUUCCACGUGUAGCAGUGAAAUGCGUAGAGAUGUGGAGGAACACCGAUGGCGAAGGCAGCCCCCUGGGUUAACACUGACGCUCAGGCACGAAAGCGUGGGGAGCAAACAGG
rnacentral:rRNA from 1 species